GUGCUCGCUUCGGCAGCACAUAUACUAAAACUGGAAGGGAAGAUUAGCAUAGCCCCUGUGCAAAGAUGACACGCACAUUCGAGAAAGCAUUCCAUAUUUUU
rnacentral:snRNA from 1 species